rnacentral:rRNA from 1 species
AACGAACGCUGGCGGCAUGCAUAACACAUGCAAGUCGAACGAAGGCUUCGGCCUUAGUGGCGCACGGGUGCGUAACGCGUGGGAAUCCGCCCCUCGGUUCGGAAUAACAGUUAGAAAUGACUGCUAAUACCGGAUGAUGACUUCGGUCCAAAGAUUUAUCGCCGAGGGAUGAGCCCGCGUAAGAUCAGGUAGUUGGUGGGGUAAAGGCCUACCAAGCCGACGAUCUUUAGCUGGUCUGAGAGGAUGAUCAGCCACACUGGGACUGAGACACGGCCCAGACUCCUACGGGAGGCAGCAGUGGGGAAUAUUGGACAAUGGGCGAAAGCCUGAUCCAGCAAUGCCGCGUGAGUGAUGAAGGCCUUAGGGUUGUAAAGCUCUUUUACCAGGGAUGAUAAUGACAGUACCUGGAGAAUAAGCCCCGGCUAACUCCGUGCCAGCCGCCGCCGUAA